UUCGUUUGACUGUCGCUA
rnacentral:siRNA from 1 species